rnacentral:rRNA from 17 species
GAGCGUCCCAUGAGGGGCGAAGCGGCCGUGUGAACGCGCCGUGGACUUCAUGGGAGUGAGAAUGCAGACAUGAGUAGCGAGAGACGGGUGAAGAUCCCGUCCGCUGGAUGACCAAGGGUUCCAGGGCCACGUUCAUCGUCCCUGGGUGAGUCGGGUCCUAAGGCGAGGCCGACAGGCGUAGUCGAAUGGAUGAACGGGUGGAUAUUCCCGUACCGACC